rnacentral:rRNA from 1 species
CAGUCGCCACGGUAACACCAGCAGCCCAAGUGGUGGUCGCGAUUAUUGGGCCUAAAGCGCUCGUAGCCGGGCCGGUAAGUCCCUUGUGAAAUCGGACGGCCUAACCGUUCGGCGUGCAAGGGAUACUGUCGGUCUUGAGGCCGGGAGACGUCCGAGGUACUCCGGGGGUAGCGGUGAAAUGUUCUGAUCCUCGGGGGACCACCGGUGGCGAAGGCGUUCGACGAGAACGGGCCUGACGGUGAGGGGCGAAGGCUAGGGGAGCAAACGGGAUUAGAUACCCGCGUAGUCCCUGUCUCUUAUA